rnacentral:rRNA from 1 species
UACGUAGGCAGCAAGCGUUGUUCGGAAUUACUGGGCGUAAAGAGUGUGUAGGCGGUGCUCUAAGUCUGUUGUGAAAUCUCCCGGCUUAACUGGGAGGGUGCGGCGGAAACUGGGAGUGCUCGAGGGUGGGAGAGGUAAGCGGAAUUCCUGGUGUAGCGGUGAAAUGCGUAGAUAUCAGGAGGAACACCUGUGGUGUAGACAGCUUACU